rnacentral:rRNA from 1 species
AGAUUGAACGCUGGCGGCAGGCCUAACACAUGCAAGUCGAGCGGCAGCACGGGUACUUGUACCUGGUGGCGAGCGGCGGACGGGUGAGUAAUGCCUAGGAAUCUGCCUGGUAGUGGGGGAUAACGCUCGGAAACGGACGCUAAUACCGCAUACGUCCUACGGGAGAAAGCAGGGGACCUUCGGGCCUUGCGCUAUCAGAUGAGCCUAGGUCGGAUUAGCUAGUUGGUGAGGUAAUGGCUCACCAAGGCGACGAUCCGUAACUGGUCUGAGAGGAUGAUCAGUCACACUGGAACUGAAGACACGGUCCAGACUCCUACGGGAGGCAGCAGUGGGGAAUA